rnacentral:tRNA from 1 species
GACUACGUGGCCGAGUGGUUAAGGCGAUGGAUUGCUAAUCCAUUGUUCUUUGAACGCGCAUGUUCGAAUCAUGCCGUAGUCG